rnacentral:rRNA from 1 species
UACAGAGGGUGCGAGCGUUAAUCGGAAUUACUGGGCGUAAAGCGUGCGUAGACGGUUAUUUAAGUCUGAUGUGAAAGCCCUGGGCUCAACCUGGGAAUGGCAUUGGAAACUGGCGACCUAGAGUGCGGUAGAGGGUAGUGGAAUUCCCGGUGUAGCAGUGAAAUGCGUAGAUAUCAGAAGGAACAUCAGUGGCGAAGGCGGCUUUCUGGACCAAUACUGACGAUCAGGUGCGAAAGCGUGGGGAGCAAACAGG